rnacentral:lncRNA from 1 species
UAAAGCUGGAGUUAGGAUUCUAUAUUAUCCAUAGUAUCAGGCUUCCGGUACUAGCUAUAAUUUCGUUUUCGAUUUUAGAGUGUUUAAAUUAUAGAUUCAUACUGUUAAAAUUGAUUUAGAAUAUUUAAAAUUUUUAAAAAUAAAAUUUUAUAUUUUUUUGAUAUAAUUUACUUUAUGAUAAAAUCAUUUCAAACUCGUCAAUUUUUAAUGAUUAUUAUGGUAAGUUUGUAGUUUAACGGUAUAGAAGAAUAUAAAUUUAUUCAAAUUUUAACAGAAAAUACUUUAAACCAUCUAGAUCAAGAUCAAGAACAACAGCCUUGAUCUUGAAUUUAAAAGUUUAAAAGCCCUAUUCUCAAAUUUUAAAAAUUAUUCAAUUUUCACUGUUUAUUUUGACAUGAUCUAUUUACUAUGUAAACGAUGUCGAAAAAAAUUUGAUUUAUUUACUAAGUAAAUAAUAUUGAAAAAAAUUAAAAUUUUAUUACUAAGAACUUUAUAUACUCUAAAUUAUAUUUGACGGUGUGGAUAGUUAAUUUGAAUACCAUAAAAUAAAAAACAAGACUAUAGUACCGAAGCUCUGGUAUUAUAGAUAGUAUAGUAGCCUCAUUUAAGGUUUUUGCCGUUAGAUCUAUUUUUUUGAUUAUUUUCGUCCAUUAAAUUAUAUUAUUUAACCACCUGUCCACUUAACUCUAGAAGAUCACUAUUAUCCUAACAGCACAUUCAUUAAUUUAAGGACAAAAAACUAAUAAGCGCCAAUGUCUUAGUACUUUUAAAAGUACAUGAGCACAAUUAUAUAAUAACUAUAAUUAAUGAUUCUAAAUGAGGAUAAUAAUGUUGGAGGGAGCCUUGAAUUCAUAAAAAAAAAUUAGUAAUUAAAUAAAAAGAAGAAUAUGUUGAGGAAU